rnacentral:tRNA from 2 species
GCCUGGCUAGCUCAGUCGGUAGAGCAUGAGACUCUUAAUCUCAGGGUUGUGGGUUUGUGCCCCACAUUGGGCG